rnacentral:misc_RNA from 1 species
AAGUCGUAACAAGGUUUCCGUAGGUGAACCUGCGGAAGGAUCAUUACUGAAUGACGUGUGUCCUGGUUGUGGUAGGCCAUUUCCUUCCAUCAGAUUUGGUCAGAUGUCGGACCAGCUGGGAUUCGGUCUACCAUGCCUUUCACCAAACAAACCUGUCGUUGUAUGUGUAUGGCAUUAAAGCAUAUAAAUAUAAAUAUAACUUUCAACAACGGAUCUCUUGGCUCUC